GUCCUGAUUUAGGGAAAAAAAAAUACAAAAACAUAUAAGACUUCAAAUCAUAUAUUUGCAUGGGGAUAUCUUAUCUUCAUGAAACUGCCUUUUAUAGAAUGGACAUUUUAUUACAUUUGUGUUUCUGUUAUUAAGGGACUAAAUACCUAGUGGGAAGUAAAAAUUAUCUUGCAAUUACAUUCGACAUAGUUGUGUUUAAAAUUAAAAAGAAGGCUAAACAGGAAUUAAAAGGUAGCUUAAGAAAAUCACUAGAUGUAUUUUGUGCCUUGAUUGCCAGAAGUGCACAAUAGAUUUUCUUUUAAGAUUAAUAUUAGACCAAGAACAGUCUUGAUUAUCAUCACCAAGUUCACUUGUCUCAGAGGCUUUCCAUGUCUGCUUCCUUGUAGAUUUCCAGCUGCUGAACAAAAGAUAGCUCUGCAUCAUACAACACAACGUAUCUUGGUUCUACUUCAUGCCAUACCCUGGUCAGAGCAUAGGGAUCAUUGCAACCCUGCAACAGAUGAAUAAUUGUGAAUGAGUUUUUGAAAAUAUCAUAGUAAGAAUCUGAAGGAGAUGCCACUUGCCACUUUUUAUCCCGAUAAAAAAUAGCGAAGUGAAGACAUGAUGGCAUGUGAGCCUGUAGCUCUGGUGACUGAUCCAUGGAGAAAUACUGCACUGGAUUUCACAUCAGCAUUACAGGGAGCAGGCAAUACUAACUUACGGCCCGAGAAGUGACAAGGGCCCCUCGCUGCCCGCCAACCGACCCUGGAAGAGCCCCAGCCGCCAAACCCCAUCUCCGAAGGCGGCAGCAGCCGGCGGGCAGCCGCCUCCUUCCUCCUCCCCUCACGUUCUCGGCGGAGCUCACGUUCAGCACCAAGCUAGCGGGCUCGCUGUAGGGGCGGAGGAAGCGCAGCAGCAGGCGGGUCGAUGCCGAGUCCCCGGGCGCACACCACCAGCCCGUCCCGGUGGAAGAAGUCCUCAAACCCGCCUCCUGUGGUCCAGCAGCGCCUCCAUCGCCGCCGGCCCCAGCCCGCCACAGCAGCGCCUGCGCCCGGCCUCGCCGCGGCUGAGGGAGCGGCGCCCUCAGGCGGCUGGAGGCGGUGUCUCAUCUUCUAGUUGAGGGUCUUCUGAGGGCAGGGGUCAGGUACGGAGGUCAUUUUUUUUAUUCCAAAUGCUUCAUUUUUAGUCACUGACUAACGGCAUUUCUUAACAAAAGAAGCUGGCUGAACCGAGCUUGCUCUCCGCCAUGAGGCAGCAGCACCUCAGCUUGGCAGUGUCCCGCAUGAGAGGAGCCCCAGGCCUGCUACCCAAAAUGGCUGUCAGGGCAUAAAUAUAAAAUAAAGCUAUAAAUCUGGACGUUUUCUGGGCCGGCCACAGGGCAGAUGGGUGCUGCUUUGGUUGGGCCACAUGGUAGCAAAUUUAGCUGUUGAAUGUGGUCAUUUAAUAUAUGACGCUUUCAAAUUAUUUUAGAAGUCAUCUGCAUUUUAACAGGCAAACAUUCAGAAAAAAUGUUUAAAAAUGGACAUAAAUUAAUAAAAUAUUGGGACUAUUCUUGAUUUUUUUUUUUUUUUCCAC
rnacentral:lncRNA from 1 species